CAGCCCCUCGAGUGGUGGGGAUGAUUAUUUGGCCUAAAGCGUCCGUAGCCGGCCGAGCAAGUCCCCCGUUAAAUCCAGCGUCUCAAGCGUUGGACUGCGGGAGAUACUGUACGGCUAGAGAGUGGGAGAGGUCAGCGGUAUUCUGGGGGUAGGGGCGAAAUCCUUUGAUCCCCGGAGGACCACCAGUGGCGAAGGCUGCUGACUAGAACACGUCUGACGGUCAGGGACGAAAGCUGGGGUAGCGAACCGGAUUAGAUACCCGAGUAGUCC
rnacentral:rRNA from 1 species